rnacentral:rRNA from 1 species
AUUGAACGCUGGCGGCAUGCCUUACACAGGCAAGUCGAACGGUAACGGGCCUUCGGGUGCCGACGAGUGGCGAACGGGUGAGUAAUACAUCGGAACGUGACUGAUUGUGGGGGAUAACGAGGCGAAAGCUUUGCUAAUACCGCAUACGAUCUACGGAUGAAAGCAGGGGACCGCAAGGCCUUGCGCGGACGGAGCGGCCGAUGGCAGAUUAGGUAGUUGGUGGGAUAAAAGCUUACCAAGCCGACGAUCUGUAGCUGGUCUGAGAGGAUGAUCAGCCACACUGGGACUGAGACACGGCCCAGACUCCUACGGGAGGCAGCAGUGGGGAAUUUUGGACAAUGGGCGCAAGCCUGAUCCAGCCAUGCCGCGUGCAGGAUGAAGGCCUUCGGGUUGUAAACUGCUUUUGUACGGAACGAAAAGCCUUCUUUUAAUACAGGAGGGUCAUGACGGUACCGUAAGAAUAAGCACCGGCUAACUACGUG